rnacentral:rRNA from 1 species
UACGGUUACCUUGUUACGACUUCACCCCAAUCAUGAAUCACACCGUCGACGCCUGCCUCCCAAUGGGUUAGCUCAGCGGCUUCUAGUGCAGCCCACUUUCGUGAUGUGACGGGCGGUGUGUACAAGGCCCGGGAACGUAUUCACCGUGGCGUGCUGAUCCACGAUUACUAGCGAUUCCAACUUCAUGCAGUCGAGUUGCAGACUGCAAUCCGAACUGAGAACGGCUUUCUGAGAUUCGCUCACUCUCGCGAGUUGGCUGCUCUUUGUACCGUCCAUUGUAGCACGUGUGUAGCCCGGGGCAUGAAGGCCAUGAGGACUUGACGUCAUCCCCACCUUCCUCCGGCUUCUCGCCGACAGUCUCCGUAGGGUGCCCAGCUUAACCUGAUGGCAACUACAGACAAGGGUUGCGCUCGUUGCGGGACUUAACCCAACAUCUCACGACACGAGCUGACGACAGCCAUGCAGCACCUCUGUGGCAGUCUCCGAAGAGACAUCAACAUCUCUGCUAACUUCCACCACAGUUUAAACCCCGGUAAGGUUCUUCGCGUUGCGUCGAAUUAAACCACAUGCUCCACCGCUUGUGCGGGCCCCCGUCAAUUCCUUUGAGUUUCAAUCUUGCGAUCGUACUCCCCAGGCGGGGUACUUAACG